AGUUUGAUCCUGGCUCAGGACGAACGCUGGCGGCGUGCUUAACACAUGCAAGUCGAACGGAAAGGCCCUUUCGGGGGUACUCGAGUGGCGAACGGGUGAGUAACACGUGGGUGAUCUGCCCUGCACUUUGGGAUAAGCCUGGGAAACUGGGUCUAAUACCGGAUAGGACCACGCGCUUCAUGGUGUGUGGUGGAAAGCUUUUGCGGUGUGGGAUGGGCCCGCGGCCUAUCAGCUUGUUGGUGGGGUAAUGGCCUACCAAGGCGACGACGGGUAGCCGGCCUGAGAGGGUGUCCGGCCACACUGGGACUGAGAUACGGCCCAGACUCCUACGGGAGGCAGCAGUGGGGAAUAUUGCACAAUGGGCGCAAGCCUGAUGCAGCGACGCCGCGUGGGGGAUGACGGCCUUCGGGUUGUAAACCUCUUUCAGUAUCGGCGAAGCUCCAGGAUUGUGACGGUAGGUACAGAAGAAGCACCGGCCAACUACGUGCCAGCAGCCGCGGUAAUAC
rnacentral:rRNA from 1 species